rnacentral:tRNA from 1 species
CCUGUAGCUCAGUUGGAUAGAGCAACGGCCUUCUAAGCCGUGGGUCGGGGGUUCGAAUCCCUCCAGGC